UACGGAGGGGACUAGCGUUGUUCGGAAUUACUGGGCGUAAAGCGCACGUAGGCGGAUUUGUAAGUCAGGGGUGAAAUCCUGGAGCUCAACUCCAGAACUGCCUUUGAUACUGAGGAUCUUGAGUUCGGGAGAGGUGAGUGGAACUGCGAGUGUAGAGGUGAAAUUCGUAGAUAUUCGCAAGAACACCAGUGGCGAAGGCGGCUCACUGGCCCGAUACUGACGCUGAGGCGCGAAAGCGUGGGGAGCAAACAGG
rnacentral:rRNA from 1 species